rnacentral:rRNA from 1 species
AUUGAACGCUGGCGGCAGGCUUAACACAUGCAAGUCGAGCGGAGUGAUGGUGCUUGCACUAUCACUUAGCGGCGGACGGGUGAGUAAUGCUUAGGAAUCUGCCUAUUAGUGGGGGACAACAUCUCGAAAGGGAUGCUAAUACCGCAUACGUCCUACGGGAGAAAGCAGGGGAUCACUUGUGACCUUGCGCUAAUAGAUGAGCCUAAGUCGGAUUAGCUAGUUGGUGGGGUAAAGGCCUACCAAGGCGACGGUCUGUAGCGGGUCUGAGAGGAUGAUCCGCCACACUGGGACUGGGACACGGCCCAGACUCCUACGGGAGGCAGCAGUGGGGAAUAUUGGACAAUGGGGGGAACCCUGAUCCAGCCAUGCCGCGUGUGUGAAGAAGGCCUUAUGGUUGUAAAGCACUUUAAGCGAGGAGGAGGCUCUUUUGGUUAAUACCCAAGAUGAGUGGACGUUACUCACAGAAUAAGCACCGGCUAACUCUGUGCCAGCCGCCGCGGUAA